rnacentral:lncRNA from 1 species
CAUUAUUAGCUCCCAAAACUCUGGCCAUUAUAGAUUUCAGAUCUGAAGUAGCUUUCUAAUUCAAAAACCAAAAUACAAAACCAAAAGUUCAAAAAAUAUACAAACCCAAAAAUGUUACUGUUCUAUUAGGCAUUGAGUGACUUUCAAUUCUCAUCUUUCGAUUUACCACUUCCUAAUUUAGAUUUUGGUUGUCAUGACUCAGCAGUCUCCUAGAUCCAUUUCUGUUGGUUUUUGAGUUCAUUUGAAUCAGUUCAGGCCCUUCAGUUGAUGCAACAGUCGAGUAGUGUGUUACUUAGUGUUUGGUGAAGCUGUUUUGUGUUAAAUCACACUUGUUUGGUUGUUGUUUGAGAUUGGUUUCUGGUGUUUAAUUCUCCCUGAGCUGCUGAAUAUUGUUCUUGGAUACUGUUGCUGUUUCAUCUGCUUCUGCUAACUCCUUCUUCUUUCACUGCAAUUCAAAAACCAGGUACAUAUCCUGAAGUUUGACGCUAUGUAUCUUCAUUUCACUGGAAAUAUGAAUCAGGAUUGAAGUGAACUAUCUGCUGUGGAGUUGUAGUUUAGGUGUGAUAUGAUUUUGGCAUUAAUUCUUAAUAUAUGUAGUUCAUCUAUUUCAUUAUAAUUAUAUCUUUUGGUUAAAACUGGUGAUGCAUGUCUGAUAGUCGAGUCAUGUAGCUAAACAGAUGCUCAUUGGACUGUUAAACUCAUUGACUUCAUUGUAGGUAGAUAAUUUGUUUAGAUUGGUUUGGUACAUACGUUUGAUAAUUGAUUUCUACAGCUAGAUUUGAGUUAUUGGUACUGUUAAAUAUGGGUUGUGCAAAUCCAAAUGUCUCAUGCUAUUUGUAUUCAAAUUGAGCUCAUAAAUCAUUAGUUUGGUAUAGUUAAAUACCAGUUUAGGUCUGGUUCUGUAUGCUUUUAGUUUAGUAUAGGAUAUUUUAAAAGGUAAUCCGAGUUUCUGUGUUGGUUUGAAUUCAUAUUUCUGCUUAAAUUGAGAUUAGGACUAUUGAGUCCUUGGCAAAACAUUAAUUGCCUAAGCAAUCAAGCUGGGUGGGUAUUUGGAGUUGCCUCCGAUGUCCUUACCCAAGCUCGAUCCUGAGCCAUGUCUUCAGGUGUAUGUAAUUGUUUGGGCCUGGCUUCUCACGCUAUAGGCCCAAUGUGUUGAGAUCUUCUAAAAGGGAACGUCAGGUGGGCCAUGGCCUAUGUGGGGAUGGGAUUUGGCCUUAUGAGGGAUCGAUCUUAGGCUGUCAAACGAACGGCCCUCAAGAAUUUAGGCUUCCUAGGGGAUUCGAUCCCAUGCGCAGUCAUCUGUCACCUGGGCUUCCUUCUCUCCUGCUUGACCGUAAUAUUUGGGCCGUUUCUGAAGCCCAUCAGUGGUCGAACUCGUUGUUGAGUUUGGACUACUGAAUUUCAGUGCAUAAUUUCACUAGAUAGUUCAGUUCUCACAUAAUUAGUUUUCUUUCUUCUUUUAGAGACAAUUGACCAAUAGAAAAUUGUAGUCACUCUCAAAUGGGCCUUUUAAUAAAAUGUUGAGACGAACCUCGCCAAACAAAAUCAUAUACGCGGGGCCCUCAACGAAUGGUUAUUAAAAUAAUUAGAAUUUGGGAGGGUUGUUUAGUAAAUUUCACGGCCUUCCCCAAAAUAAUAAUACGUUAGAAUCUUUAGGCACAAUUUAACUAAAUUACUUUCUUAAAUUCGGGUGCUCAUUGAUGCGGCCCAAAUCCAAAUUUUGACUAAGUCAAAAUGCAUCGACAACCACGGGUGCAUUGAUUGCGACGUGGUUCGAAACGCGUUUUCACAACGUCGCAAUUCUUGUAGAAUAAACAAUGAUAAAAAGCGGUUUACGAAUAGAAGGCACAUAAGCUAGCAUGUAUUAAAGUCAGAUAAAAUCAAAUGCAACAGUUAAGCGACCGUGCUAGAACCACGAAACCCAGGAAUGCCUAACACCUUCUCCCAGGUUAAUAGGAGUCCUUACUCAGAUUUCUGGUUCGCGGACUGUAACAGAGUCAUAAAUUUCCUCGGUUCGGGGUCCAACCGAUGACUUGGGACACCAUUAAUAUCCCAAGUGGCGACUCUGAAAUAAUUAAUAAUUAAAUCCCGUUCCGAUUGUCCUUUAAUUGGAAAAACUCCUUUAUGCGCCCUUGCAGGGUGUAGUAAUGAAAAGGAGGUGUGACAACUCUGGCGACUCUGCUGGGGAACGAACCUAGAAUCUCUGGUUCAGGGUUCAUAAUUCGAGCUUAGAUAAAUUGUUGUAUUUGGUUGUAUCUGAUUUUCCUACAUGUUUUGUGCUAAAUGUGCUAAAUGUUACCGCUUUGAUAUUAUCUGAACUGUAUAUAAACUGUGCCGACACCCUUCUCUCUUCACCUCCGGGGAUGUGCUUACUGGUUGAGACUCCCUAUUCUGUUAGUUUCAUACCUUGAAAUAAUAAAGAGGCCGGACAAGUUACGAAGUCAGAUGGCCUUUUGGUUCCCGGUAAGUUGCCCCCUCCUCGACUUGAGUUGUCCGCUCGGGUACACAGUCUAGAACACCGACUCAGGAUUUGAACAUAGAAUAACAUGACUUCAUGUCAGAUCCCUAGUAGGAACGGUUAUUUGCAUCAUGCUGCAUUUGACUUUGGGGACUCAACACAGGGGUUGGGUCCGUCUAGGGCUAGCAACCCGAAAUGAAAGGAUCAUCCUGAUGCAUCCUACUUGCUUUGUACAUAUAUUUGUUUUGAACUUGCAUGCUGACCGGUUUCUGAAUCUCAGGAAUAUUGAAAAAUCGAGAAAAAAAAGAAAAGAAAAAAAGAGAGAAAUAACAGAAAGACCAAGUACUGGCGAAACUCUGCCGAAAUUUUGAGAAAACGGAAAAAAGAGGAAAAUAGGAAAAAAAUGUCUUUUAUUUUCGGACAGUUGUUGUUGAAAAAGAAAAUGAAAAAGAGUCUUUAUUUUAGUUUGGAAAAGUAGGUUGUUUUAUUCUUUGUCGAAAAUGAAAAAAAGAGUCGUUAUUUCGUCUUGAUUUCAAAAAAAAUAGAAAAGGAAAAUAGUUUGUAUUGCCAUGAAAAAUGAAAAUAAAAAAGAAUCUUGUUUUAAAAUGGUUCGGUUAAUUCGCCCGAACUACGCCGGUUUGAUUCUCACAGGGUGUGGGAUACUUAGGCAACCCUCAUCGGGUCCAACCUUUCCUUUGCAAAAAUAGCCAAAAAAUGUCAAAAUUUCUAUUUUCGUCGUAAAUAAGUUGGGUUAUGCCGUUUUGUCAAAAAUAGCCAAAUGUUCCCAAACGGAACGCCGGAAGGCUGACCUUGCAUAAAUAGCCACCUUUGGUCAUGUUUUCAUUUUUUGACCCUCACAGCCUUAAGUUUUCGUCCUCGAGGCAUUGAAAGGUCGUGUUGCAAUACCAGGUCUUUUAUCUUAAUUUGAAAAAAAAGGUAAAGAGUUGUAAAUAAGUCAAGUAUGUCAUAAAUAGUCGAAUGUCCCUAAAAGGAACGCUGGAAGGCUGACUUUGCAAAACGGCCAUCUUGGUCAAUUUUUUUAUUUUGGACCGGUUGACUUUCACAACCUUAAAAUCUUUGUUCCCGAAGUGCUGAAAGGCCGCCUUUGAGAAUCGAGUUCUUCAUUUUUUAAAUCUGAAAAUAUAUAGAUAAUUUUAUAUUGAGUCAAAAAUAUAGAUAGUUUUUUUGAGUCGAAUAACAGUUUUUCUUUUGCUUAAUCGCCUUAAUAAAUGUGCAGGAUGAGCACGAUGCUAAAUGAACCCUUUUCAAUAAUAACCAAAAUCCCUUUUGAGUUGCGAUUAUGGUGGAAUGAUUUAGGCAAAGAAGGGCAAGACGAAG